ACAAAGUACUGUAAACAUAACUGUUGAAAAUCCUACGGAUCUGUGGAAAAGAAACCAGCUGCUUACAAUUACAUCAAAGAAGUGGCCAGGAAGGAGAGUGUGUGAAAGCAAACCCAACACGAGAAUUUAAAAUGACUGACUCUGAAAGUCAUAAGUAGCAAAGAUUGAGGAGAGCAGGCCGUGCCUAACUUAUGAUCAGGAACAAUCCAAAAUAAAGCAAAGGUUCUGGAGAGAGAUUAGAAGAUUGACAGAGCAACUGGAAUGCACAAGCAGAAAAUUAAUAAUGCAGGACCUCCAGACAGAUCACUGCUGCCCUUAGAAGUAACUGGUUUGCUGGUUGCGGUGCCAGUCACUGAUGAGACAAUGUAAAACCAGCCAGCCAUGAAUAGAAACAAGGUGGAGACAGAAGCAGUGUUUCUUUGCAUGGAAGGCUUUUUAUAUUAGUUUUCUGUGUAUAACUUCUGAUAUUUUUCUCUAAAAGCAGACUGGAGAAAGAAGAAUGGAGAAAAAGAGGGGGAAAAAAAAAAUAAGGAGGAGAGCACAGAAGAAAGGAAUAAUAAAAGCUGCAUGGAUUUGUAUGCACUCAUUUUUCCAUCAUCAUGCUAACCUUCACCACUCCUUAAGCUUUAGGGAUUCUAAGUAUAAAUUUAGUCUUUAGCAUAAUAUUUUAGUUGUUCGUGAAUGAGCAACACUCCUGUAGAAGUGGCAGAAUCCAGACUUAGCACUUACAUGUUAGCAUUUUAAGGCUGACACGUUCUGCUAUCCUUUACUUUCUAGUUUUAUGGUAUUUUAAUUACAGCCCACAGGCCUU